rnacentral:rRNA from 1 species
AUUGAACGCUGGCGGCAGGCUUAACACAUGCAAGUCGAGCGGGGUGAUGGUGCUUGCACUAUCACUUAGCGGCGGACGGGUGAGUAAUGCUUAGGAAUCUGCCUAUUAGUGGGGGACAACAUCUCGAAAGGGAUGCUAAUACCGCAUACGUCCUACGGGAGAAAGCAGGGGAUCACUUGUGACCUUGCGCUACUAGAUGAGCCUAAGUCGGAUUAGCUAGUUGGUGGGGGAAAGGCCUACCAAGGCGACGAUCUGUAGCGGGUCUGAGAGGAUGAGCCGCCACACUGGGACUGAGACACGGCCCAGACUCCUACGGGAGGCAGCAGUGGGGAAUAUUGGACAAUGGGGGGAACCCUGAUCCGGCAUGCCGCGUGUGUGAAGAAGGCCUUAUGGUUGUAAAGCACUUUAAGCGAGGAGGAGGCUCUUUUGGUUAAUACCCAAGAUGAGUGGACGUUACUCGCAGAAUAAGCACCGGCUAACUCUGUGCCAGCCGCCGCAGUAA